UUUAAGUGAACGAUAGCAGGGAUGGCACAGAUGUGUCAAGCAUGUUUGUGGUGCCGUUAGAGAAAAAGGACGUGAGGUCCAAAUUACAAACAAACAAACUUAACCUUGAGAGCUUUUAUAUAUUUUAUGUGAAAAUGACAAUGAGCAUGAUGGUCGUAGUAUGAACGUAGUCAGGUCGUAAGAAGAGCGUGAUAAGGACGG
rnacentral:lncRNA from 1 species